AAGCGCAAGGACCCAAGUUCGAUCCCCGGUAACAAAAAAAAAAAAAAAAAAGAACACAUUCCUUACUUAUUUCACUCUUCAGCAUUACCUGUCUGCCCAGUUGGCAUCUAAGUAGAAUAUAGUGAACUCUCACUGAUUACUAGAUUCUAAUCACCACGUAACUACCAGCAUCACCAGACACCAUUUAGGCAUCCACUUUCAGUAAGAAUAAAACAAAACAAAACAACUAGUUUUCUCUCAUUACAUUCCUAGUGCUCUUGAAAUAAAACCUGCAUCAGGCUCCUAAGGCCAUCAUCCAAAGCCCAUGGACUUUCCCUUGAGAUCAAACACAUGCUGUUAGGGCUCUGAGUCUCACUUUCAGGCUCUCUGUCAUCUCCUGACUCUUCCAGGGGACAUAAAAACAAUACCCUCAUACACCAGUUCCACCGAAAAGAUUUUCUUUAUUGUUGUUAUUACUGAAGCAUUGAUAUCCUUAUAUUUUAUAUCUAUAUGUACAGAUUUUACAUGUCCUAUACUUUACACAAUAUACACAUGCAUAUGCACACACGAUUUUGACAUAUCACAGUAAAAAAUUUAGAUGUGAUACUAGUCUAUAGCUCAAUUUAAGAUAGAAAGCCAUAGCCUAAAUGUGCUGGCUUUGUUUCCCAGCAUCUCAGUUUUCUUUACAAUUUGAGAAAGUACUAUUUGAGUAUUUAUUAUUAUUAUUUGAGUAUUAUUAUUACUUGAGGCAUAAUAAUAUUAAUCUUUAAUGGCCUUUACUCUACUGAACAUGCCUAUGUACCCAUUCCCACUGAAAUUUCCCUUCUAGCCACACAUAGUCAUUACCCUGAUUUAAUGUAAAGGCAACUGAGGCCCAUAUGAAGUGACCUCCUCAAGCCAUUCAGGUGUUAGAGUGGAGUCAGAAAAAACAAAGCCUUGGCUGGUAGCCCUGGGCUCUUUCUGAGAAUCCACAAGAACUGAGUGAAUAUUUCAAACAUAUUUUCUGAAUGAAAAAACUCCCCAUAGUCUCUGGCAGUUAGUACCUAAGAAGAUAAAGCAGAGUAUUAAAAAUCCAUGUACACUCUAGUGAAAAUGUCCAGACUUUGUUGGAGUGAGAGGCUCAAAGCACCUGUCAAGGUACGCUAUAAUGAGAAAUGAUCAUGACUGGAAUGUUCUCCUUUAUCUCACCAGCUCUAUAACCCAAAUUUUAUCAAAGACUUCAGGCCUGAAGAGCUCAGACCGCAUUUUGUCAUUAAUAUUCACCACCAUACCCUUUAAGGGUAUGGGUAUGUGUUAUUAGCAUCACAUUUCAGAUGAAAAUACACCAUGAAAAGAACCAUAGCAUUUGUGCCUGGCUUAAGGAUUCAGAGACUGCUUCCUUUUAGAACCAUCUCUUAUGUCUGAUUCAGCUUUGCCCUCCUGUAGGAAACAACACAGAUAAACCAAGUGGGAUGCUCUUUUCAGCCUAAUGUCCCCAGUGUCAAAGUCUGACUAAAAUAAUAAGAUCAAAGCCCUAGGACUAUGAUGAAAAUGAAAGUCCAUGAUGGAGCAAGAUUGGCAAAGAAGCUAUUAUGUAUUGGCCUAGAUACUCAAAUGUCCUUUGAAAAAUAUUAAAAAUACAGAUGUCUAUUAUUAUAUAAUAGCAUUAAGACCUAAACCUCAGCCAUCUUUAGAAAUCCAAGCAAUGGUCACCCAAGAGCUAGGCUUUCAAUAUUUUCCCUCUUUUCUUUUUUUCUGGUACUGAGCUACAUACCCCCGCCCCUUUUUUUGAGACAGGUCUUGCUAAAUUACCCAGUUGUCCAGAACUUAUGAUCUGCUGCAUCACAUUUGAUUCUAUUGCGACCAUUUAGCAUGAUCUUGAACAUACAAGCUGUAAUUUCACAGCUUCAAACACUUUACUGUGUCUAUGAAAUCUACAUUUUUUUUAAAAAGCCGGUCACUGACACCUGACAUGAACCACACCAACACUCACUGAAAAGACUGUAAGAAGUGUCAUCCUGGGUAAGUCAGUGGUGCAUCUGAUCGAGAAUUCUGUCACUGUUAUCUGAAACACUCAUGGGAGGGCAUGAGCUCUUAAAACUAAUGUUGCACUUCUAAGAACUUUGCCUCAUCAAUACAAAAAUCACAUAAAAUCAUUCAUUGCAGUGAUAUUUGUAAUCACAGAACCUGGGAACAAACUAAAUGGUUAUUAAUAAGCAACUGGUUGAACAGACUGUGGCACAGCCAUACAAUAGACUAUCAUUCAGCUAAAAAAAAUAAGAUCUUUAUGCAACAAUAAGGAAGAUUCCAAGGAUAUAUUGGUAAGUAAAUUAAAUAAUAUAUAUACACUCGAAUGUCCAUAGGAUGCCGCUAUCAUUCAAAAGCUAUGGGAUGGAUAUUUUUCAGACAUUUUGCACAUACUUACUGUGCAUCUUCUACAUCCCAGAAACUGUUCUAGCUACUGGGGACAUGGCAGUAAAGAAGAAAAUAGACCAAACUCCUAGCCUUCCAGAAGCUUAUUCUCAUUUUCUCAUGCCAGGAUACUCGUGUCUGAGGCCCCCUGACAAUUCUGUCUGUCUCAUUUGGGAUCUCUCAUGUAUACUUAGUCAGACAGCUGCUGGAGCUGGAGCCAACUAAAAAAUUAAUUAGAAUGCUGUACUACUACAAACUGCCUCUGAUGUCACAUGAUCUGUGUGUCUGUCUUCAUAUAGCCUUCUUAUAAAGAUGUCAGCCACUGGAUUUUGAGUCCAUCUACUUCAUUCUAACCAUCUUUCACACAGACUCUCCAUCAGAGAGAGAAAAUUCAUAGCCAGUUCAAAGUUCUCAGAAGCACAAAAAUGGAAGCUACCUGGCCUUAUAAAGUUAGUGGAAUGUGUCUAGCAAUAUUUUACAUGCUGAGAUCACAGUGGAGAACAACACAGGCACAAGACCCCAUGUCAAACAACUUUCAUUGUAGUAGAGACAAUACCACUGAAUUCUUGCUUAGAACUCUUGGUUGUUGUAGUAGUGUGGAAAAAAUAAUGAACUACAUCUGACACCUGGGCUCUCUCUCUGCAGUGAGUUCCAGACAGAGUAAAAGAUAACAUAACUCAAUCAUAUCCUGAACCAGACAGUCUGAAAUCCAUCGAUAUCUAGAUGUCUCCUCCAUUCAUACAAUUACUUAUCCUUGUUCAAAGAGCUCUCUAAUUUUUAUCUUCUUUAUAAAGUUUUUUAAAAUGGCUAAUGCUUUGGGGAUGAGUAAAGAGGUGAUGAGAACUUUACAAAAGGGAAGAAAAAGUGAGUUUCCUGGACAGUUCAAAAUUGCCUCUCCCCUUCCGUCCAAAUUUUUGGACUCUAGAAUUGUGACACUUCCCUAAAUUAUUAAUACACAUCUGCUCAAAUUAUGAUUUAUAUCUCAAUUGACCCAUUUGGCAGGAAUGACAGACUGCAAAUUGUGAAAUGGAAUGAUAUCAUAUGAUUUUUUAACAUUGCUAUCUCUAGCAUACACCUGUUACAGAGAACGCCAGAUGUUAAUCAGCAGAUGUUCCUGGGGCUCACAAAGAAAAACAGGUAGCUACUCUUCUAUACAUCUUACCACUAAAAAAUAAUGAUACCCAUUAGUAUACUGUUAUGGAAGGGAUAUGAGGAUCAGCCCUAAUGAUGGCAUAUGUGAUGUUGUGCUAAGAAAGUCAGUAGAGAUGAGAAUAUAGGAGAGCACUUUUAGAUUUUAGUCACUGGUUUUUGUUCUGAGAAUAAAUGCCAACACUGUUUUGAAUAAAAGAUAUCUGUAUGCCAGUGUUUUCUUCAAACUGUAAUACAGAGACCAUGUGCAUCACAUGGGUCUGCAUUAAAAUGCAGAUUUCUAGGCCAGUCUCAAAGGAUGAAAACCAGUAGGCCUGACAAUCACUUCCCCAACACAUACUGAAAACUGUUCCCUAUUAGCAUCUCAUCCUUCCAUGUGAACCCCAUUACUCCCUGUUCUUUCUUCUAGGCAGUUUGGAUUUCAGGUCAGAUCUUCACAAAUUCCCCUCCUCCCAGGGUUCAGGAAUGAGCACAGCCAUGAGUACUAUCACCACCAACAACUGCACCGACCCCUUACUCCCAUUGCUGUCAAAACCUAAGGAUACAAAAUCCAAGGAUGAAGCAAAAGGCAAACGUGAAUAAUCAUUCCAACCAAGUUGAUCCUGACAUGGAGCAGAGGUAACUGGGAACCUCAGAAGGAGAACUACAGGGCUAUGUGGGGAAGCAGCCUGCAUGCCCAAGCACCUGGUUCUCACUGCCACACAUACAGUGCAGCCAACUUUCAAGACUCAGCAAUGGCAAAGAGCAGAUUAUAUCCUUAUGUUGUAUACAAUUGAGAAAAUUGAGGACUAUACAAGAAGAUAUUUUUGGUAUAUUUAAAACUUCACAAUAGAAGCAUGAGAUUUUGAGCCAGAAAAAUUUCACUCUCUUAAAAUCUAGUGUGGCCUAUCACCCAAAAGAGAUGAAGUUUUUACCAUUGAAUCUGAAUAUGUCUCAAUGGCCUGCAGGGAAUACAAUUUUCUGGAAAACAGACCUGGCCUCUGCCCAUGUGGAGCUUCUAUUUCACUGGGAAAGAGAGUCAUUGAGUAAAUAAUUACAUAAACAACAGUAAUAGUAAAAACUGUACUCUUCUAACAGAGAGAUUCAUGGUGUUGUAAGGGUGUAACAGGAAAACUUGAUGUAGUCUGGAAAGGGGAACAGGAAAGGUGUCCAUACGGAAUUGACAUGUGAUCUAAGAACUGAAGAUGAAUUCAGCAGACUGGAGGGCUGAAAGCAUAUCAGACAGCAAAAAUAGCAUGUGUAAAAUUCUUGCAGUGGAAUAAAGAUGUUCAAAUAAAAGAAGGCCUGAGUAUAAAAAGCAAGGGGAAAGGAGCCCAGAUAAGCAUGGUUUCUCCAGGUAGAGGCCAGACUUCACAGAGUCUUAUGCUAAAUGCAUUGUUCUCUAAGAACAAUGAGAACAAUUAAAAGAAUGAAGGGGAGGCUUGUAGGUUCAUAGUUGCAUUUAGAAAAGAUCUCUUAGACUGCAGUGAAGAUGGAACAAUAGAGCAGAUGAAGAGGAACAAUCCAGAUGUGAGGAGACCAGUCAGGGUUCUUAAUGGUUAAUUUUAUGUCAAUUUGACUGGGCUGAGAUAAUCAAAUAGCUGGUAAAACACUACUUCUGAGUGCAUCUGUGAGGAUGUUUCUAGAAGAGAUUAACAUUUGAGUUGGUAAACUGAAUAAUGAAGAUCACCCUCACCGUGUGAGUGAGCAUUAACUGUUUCAGUCCAUUGAGCCAACAGAACAAAGGCAGAGGAAAGGUAAAUCCACUGCUUGAGCUAGAAGAUCCAUCUUUUCCUGCCCCUCAGACUCCUGGACUCCUGGUUCUCAAGCCUCCAGAGACUCACACCACUGGCACCCCUGGUCAUCAGCCCUUUGUGCUACUGGCUUUCCUGAGCCUUCAUUUUGCAGACUGCAAAAUGUGGGACCUAACCUCCAUCACUGCAUAAGCCAAUCCCUAUAAAUCCCCCCUCCCCAUUUCUAUCUGAAACAAGAGAUAUGCAGUUCAGGCUGGGCUUGAACUCACAGCAAUCCUUCUGCCUCAACUUCCAGAGGGCUAGAAUUACAGGAGUGCGCCACCACAUUCAGCCUUGUCCUGUAUCUCUAUGUAUCCUACUGGCUCUGAUUCUCUGGAAAGCCCUUACUAACACAGAAGUCCAUGGCACUAGUUUGGAUGAGAGAUAAUAUUUGGACAAGGGUAAUGGCUAUGGAGAUGCAGAGAAGAAGGCUGCUUUGAAACAUUUCUGAGGUAUCAAUGACAUAACUCAGUAAUGGAUUAGGUACAGAAUUGAAUGUGAGGGAUAAGCAUUAUGAUGCCCAGGUGUCUAACUCAUACCAUCAAAUGAAAGAUGGUUUCCUUCACGGAUGAAGGGAACAUUUAAGAGGACUGAGUUUAAAGGGGGAAAUACUUAUAUCUGGUUUUAGAUAUAUUUAGUUUGAAGUGUUUCUAAGACAUUUAAGUGGAGAUUUUUGGUAGGCAACUGAAGGUAGAUGUUAUUGAAGCUUUGGUGGUGAUUGAACUCCUAAAUGUGAAUGAGAUCACUUUAUAAACCAAUGGCAAUACGGGAUGCUGGUUCAGAGCAGGUGUCUGGAAAUAAAAAUGACUAAGUUUCCAGCCCAGGGUUAUAACUUUUUGUAACUGUACAAUGUACAACCAUGAAGAAAUUAUUCAGAUAUUCUAAAACAAAUUUUUCCUAUAUAUAAAACAGAGAUAAUAAUAUUCCCUACCUUAUAAUGUUACUGGGAGUAUUAAAUGGCAUGUUCAUCUCAAACAUUUAGCAUAGUUCUCAGUAUCUGGUAACCACUCUAUUAACCACUCAAUAAAUUAUUUCAGAAAGUACACACAAUAGGUGAGUAGGAAUCAGGGAAAGACUUGAGUAAAUCAAUGCUUGUUAGCUAGGUAAAGAAGGAUAAACAACAGUUAAGUUUCAGCCUGAAUCUUAUUGAUCAAUCCACGCACCAGGGACACCUGGUCAGCAGCUGCAUCUAGAGCCUCCUAGGGUGGUUUAUCCCUCCCAAGUCAGCCAGAAAGGGAGAUGCCAAGAGUCCUUGAAGGAACUCAACAACUUGGUCCAAGGAGUAGAGGAAGUUAUUAAAUAGGAGACUAUGAAGCAGAAUCAGGAUCAAGAUGGAAAAUAGGUUAGUAGCAAGUCAGUAACCACAGAUACAGAGGUUGGGAAAUAACUGCCAACAGUUGGACACCCAGAACAUUCUACUGACAGUAGGUGGAUGGGAUUGGAGGAGCCACAAAAUUUGAAAAUAUUGCUAAAUUCAGAUGCUUGGUUCUCAGAAUCACCUACCCUAUAAACAUUUAAUUUUUUCUUUAUAUAUGAGAUGAAAUAAGAGAAUUUUUAGCUCUUCUAUCUAGUUCAAAAAUUUAAAAGUAGCCUACCUCAAACAGUUAAAAAUAAAACUACCAUGCUAUCCAGCUAUCCCACUACAAGAUAUAUAUUAAAAGGAUAUGGAAUCAAUAUGUCAAAGAGACAUCUGCACUCUCAUGUUCAAUGCAGUAUUAUUCAUAAUAGCCAAAACAUGGAAGCAAUCUAUGUAUCGAUCAACUGAUGACUGGAUAAAGACAAAGUGGUGCAUGCACACAGUGGAAUAGUCUUCAGCCAUAAAAAAGUAAAGUCCUGUCAUUGGAGAAAACAUGGAUGGAACUGGAGAUUGUUACAGUAAGUGGAAUAAGCCAGUUACAGAAAGACAAAUAUCACAUGAUCUCCUCCAUUUGUGGACUAUAAAACAGUGCUCUCAUAGAAGCUGAGAGAAAAAUGGUGGUUACCAGAGACCGCAGAUACCAUGUGUGAAGGGAACUUUGGGUGAAAGAUGGUCAAGAGGUAUUGAGUUACAGGGAGAUAGGAACAAAAUGUCCUGAUGUGCUGUUGCACAAUAGGGUGAAUAUAAGCAACAGUAAUGUACUGUAUAUUUCAUAAGGCUAGGAGAAAAGAUUUGGAAAGUUUGCAUCAUUAAAAAAUGGUAAAUCUUUAUGAUCCCAGCACUUUGAAGGGAGGCUGUGGCAAGAGGAUUGCCACAAGUUCAAGGCCAGCCUGGGCUACAUAAUGAGUUCAAGGCUAACCUGAACUAUUUGGGAAGACCCUGUUUCAAAAAACAAAAAGGUAAAUGUUUGAGGAGAUUGAUAUGUUUACCCUGAUUUAAAUAUUACACUAUAUAUAUGUAUCUGUGUGUGUCAAAAACUAUGUUACCCCAUUAAUAUGUUUUCAUAUAACAGUUAAAAAACCAUUUUGAAGUUUAGUGAUGACACUAAAAUUUUGAUACUUAUUCACUGUGUUAAUAUGUUACCUUUAGAAGGAUAUACUCUUGGGCCAGGGAUUUAGCUCAGUGGCACCAUGCCUGCCUCGCAAGCACAAGGUCCUGAGUUCAAUUCCUGGUAUCAAAAAAAAAGUAUAUACUCUCUUUUAUUCUCAAUUACUAUUAUUGUUUAGGAUGAAAAUAUCACACAAUAAGUAUUUACUUCAUCUAAUAUCCAGAUGACAGACAGAAUAUUCAAAAUGUUCUGUAAAACAUUUCUUGAUAUGUUGAUAAUGAUGCUCAGAAUAACAAUAUCAUCAUUGUUGUCCAAUAACAAUAGAAUCUGGUCAAAUAUGAUAUCUGUGUUAUGAGAAAAGUUACACAUGUAAAUACGAGAGAGUAUGUGAUGGCGAGAAAACUCAAUUAAAAACAAAUUUGGAUGGCUUCUUAGCCUUUUGACUAAGAUCAAAUUUGGAUUAAGACCAUAUAUAAAUAGAAUUUACAUUAUGAAAUAAAUUAUUUAUAUUGGCUUAUGCUCCCAGAAGUCCAUUCUCAUUAUUGUGAUAGCUUUUAUUUUUCCCAUUAGACUGAUGAAUUGCUGAAGGAAGCAAAAAAUGAAUUCAUCUCCACAAGUGAAAAUCAUUUCAUUGCCCAUGAAUUUCUGUUGGUCCAGCUCCAACACUAAAACAGUCACAGGGUGAAUAUCAAGUGUUCUCUAGGCUAGACAAACAUGAUUCCAAGGAAGAGACACUAUUUCCUGAAACUCAACAAAGAUCUUGAAAAAUAUUUAAAUAGACUAAAUCUAAUGCUAACUUCUUUUCCCCCUGAGUAGCUAUGUUGUUCUGAAAGGUCUUCAGGCUGAUCUUGUCUGUUUACUUAUUGAUUGCAUAUUUCCCACUGUGCCAACAGCAUUAUAGCCUUAGGGAUCGUUUUCAAAUGUAGCUUUUUUAUUUCCUUAAUUAGGACAAUGUGAUGUAUUAAAUACAGGCAGAAACUGAAAAGCAGUUCAAUUUCUAGUACUGCAAAAAAAGAAAAGAAGAAGGAAGGAAGGAAGGGAGGAAGAAAGGAAGGGAGGAAGGCAAGCAGGCAAAAAGUAGCUAUCAUUCCACACAUACCCGUAGUUAUACACAUGCCUCAAUUACACUCUCCCCUAGUUCCAAUCUCUCUGAUGCUCUUUCUUCAGAAAUCCUUAGUUUCUGUUGGAGUUCGGGGUCAGGGUAAAAAUCAUUCAUCCAAUUCUUAUCUUCCAAUUUCAUGAAGUUAAGAACUUGACAAAAGGUAAAAGCAGAGAAUCAAAUCACAGUCUCAGCUUUACCAGCAGUAAAGUGAGACUGGAUAACGCUGCAUGUUCCAAGGACAGUAUCAGCUUUAUAGGUUGGGCCACAGAGUAUAGGGCUCUUUAUUAAACUGUGCAGGAAAUACAACUGGACUUAUUUCCACUCUGCUCCAUGUCUAUACCUGGGAACCCACUGAACCAUAACUUGCUACCUACCUACAAGUGGAGAAGAAAGGACAAGAGACUUAGUUGGAUUCACCAGGGGCAAGCUGACCACAUGGAAACUUGAGAUAGGCAUAUUUAAGUGGUAAUAAAAAUAUACAGUAAAUGAUUGAAUUUUUAAAAGUGUUUUACAGUAAAAGAAAUUACCAUUAAUCCCUCUCAAAAAUACUUCCCCUCAUUUCAAAUACACUAUCUCAUCAUUCUUGUCACUGUCUGAAGCAGUUCUGAGAGUACUCUUUCUCCUCUUUUAUGAAUCUUUAUGAGGUAUUAUCAGAAAUAUGAUGAAUGCUGCUGCUCAGGCUGCCCGACAGAAAGACAGGCUUGUAGAAACAUGAUGGUGUGUCCUGAUCCACCUUAUUUACUGACUGGCACCAUGCAACUUCUGUCUCCUCCCCAGAGUCAAGAUCUCCAUAAAAGGAGGUGAACAACUUUGAUCCCUGCCAUGACGAACUUUUGCCUUACCACAGCGAAGGGGGAAAACUACCAUGAACUAAAAGCUUCAAAAUGGUGGCAUGGCUGUCUUCCCGGAAGAACACAGUUCUAGCAGCAAUAACAGGAAGAUAAACCUCCCAGGAAACAAGACCUCUGCUUCUAACACUUGCUGAAGACUGAGAACCACAAAAAUCAACUUAUGUCUUUGAAUCACUCAAACUAAGUCAGGCUUCAACAAGGCAGAGGAAGUUAGAGCCAUCCGCUGUGAGCUGUGGUCAGGGCCAUCUGGUCACCUUCCACUGACUCCUGUGUGGCUAAGCCAAGUGUACAGAAGUCACUGCCUGCGUAAAAGUAGAACUCUCUAGUCCAAAGUACGAAUGGCUCACCACAUUCCAGCUCAUAAUUUUUAAAAAGGGUUAUUGGGCCAGGGAUUUAGCUCAGUGGUUCUGCCACCUGCCUCGCAAGUGGAAGGACCCGAGUUCGAUCCCCAAUACCAAAAAAAAAAAAAGGGUUAUUUAGUCUUUGCCCUA